UACGUAGGUGGCGAGCGUUGUCCGGAUUUACUGGGCGUAAAGAGCGCGCAGGCGGUCGUACAAGUCGCGUGUGAAAGCCCCCGGCUCAACUGGGGAGGGUCACGCGAUACUGUUCGACUCGAAGGCAGGAGAGGGUAGUGGAAUUCCCGGUGUAGUGGUGAAAUGCGCAGAUAUCGGGAGGAACACCAAUGGCGAAGGCAGCUCGCUGGGACGGUACUGACGCUGAGACGCGAAAGCGUGGGGAGCAAACAGG
rnacentral:rRNA from 1 species